UAGAGUUUGAUCAUGGCUCAGAUUGAACGCUGGCGGCAGGCCUAACACAUGCAAGUCGAACGGUAACAGGAAGCAGCUUGCUGCUUCGCUGACGAGUGGCGGACGGGUGAGUAAUGUCUGGGAAGCUGCCUGAUGGAGGGGGAUAACUACUGGAAACGGUAGCUAAUACCGCAUAAUGUCGCAAGACCAAAGAGGGGGACCUUCGGGCCUCUUGCCAUCGGAUGUGCCCAGAUGGGAUUAGCUUGUUGGUGGGGUAACGGCUCACCAAGGCGACGAUCCCUAGCUGGUCUGAGAGGAUGACCAGCCACACUGGAACUGAGACACGGUCCAGACUCCUACGGGAGGCAGCAGUGGGGAAUAUUGCACAAUGGGCGCAAGCCUGAUGCAGCCAUGCCGCGUGUAUGAAGAAGGCCUUCGGGUUGUAAAGUACUUUCAGCGGGGAGGAAGGGAGUAAAGUUAAUACCUUUGCUCAUUGACGUUACCCGCAGAAGAAGCACCGGCUAACUCCGUGCCAGCAGCCGCGGUAAUACGGAGGGUGCAAGCGUUAAUCGGAAUUACUGGGCGUAAAGCGCACGCAGGCGGUUUGUUAAGUCAGAUGUGAAAUCCCCGGGCUCAACCUGGGAACUGCAUCUGAUACUGGCAAGCUUGAGUCUCGUAGAGGGGGGUAGAAUUCCAGGUGUAGCGGUGAAAUGCGUAGAGAUCUGGAGGAAUACCGGUGGCGAAGGCGGCCCCCUGGACGAAGACUGACGCUCAGGUGCGAAAGCGUGGGGAGCAAACAGGAUUAGAUACCCUGGUAGUCCACGCCGUAAACGAUGUCGACUUGGAGGUUGUGCCCUUGAGGCGUGGCUUCCGGAGCUAACGCGUUAAGUCGACCGCCUGGGGAGUACGGCCGCAAGGUUAAAACUCAAAUGAAUUGACGGGGCCCGCACAAGCGGUGGAGCAUGUGGUUUAAUUCGAUGCAACGCGAAGAACCUUACCUGGUCUUGACAUCCACGGAAGUUUUCAGAGAUGAGAAUGUGCCUUCGGGAACCGUGAGACAGGUGCUGCAUGGCUGUCGUCAGCUCGUGUUGUGAAAUGUUGGGUUAAGUCCCGCAACGAGCGCAACCCUUAUCCUUUGUUGCCAGCGGUCCGGCCGGGAACUCAAAGGAGACUGCCAGUGAUAAACUGGAGGAAGGUGGGGAUGACGUCAAGUCAUCAUGGCCCUUACGACCAGGGCUACACACGUGCUACAAUGGCGCAUACAAAGAGAAGCGACCUCGCGAGAGCAAGCGGACCUCAUAAAGUGCGUCGUAGUCCGGAUUGGAGUCUGCAACUCGACUCCAUGAAGUCGGAAUCGCUAGUAAUCGUGGAUCAGAAUGCCACGGUGAAUACGUUCCCGGGCCUUGUACACACCGCCCGUCACACCAUGGGAGUGGGUUGCAAAAGAAGUAGGUAGCUUAACCUUCGGGAGGGCGCUUACCACUUUGUGAUUCAUGACUGGGGUGAAGUCGUAACAAGGUAACCGUAGGGGAACCUGCGGCUGGAUCACCUCCUUA
rnacentral:rRNA from 1 species